AGCAGCCGCGGUAAUUCCAGCUCCAAUAGCGUAUAUUAAAGUUGUUGCAGUUAAAAAGCUCGUAGUUGAACUUCGGGGUUUACCCAUUGGUCAGGCUUAAUUGUCUGCACUGGUGAGAUGAAUCUCUACCUUCUGAGGAACUUUCAUGCCAUUUAUUUGGUGUGAUGGGAAAUCAGGACUGUUACUUUGAAAAAAUUAGAGUGUUUAAAGCAGGCUAACGUCUGAAUACAUUAGCAUGGAAUAAUGAAAUAGGACGGACUGAUUCUAUUUCGUUGGUUUCUAGGAUCACCGUAAUGAUUAAUAGGGAUAGUUGGGGGCAUUAGUAUUCAAUUGUCAGAGGUGAAAUUCUUGGAUUUAUUGAAGACUAACUACUGCGAAAGCAUUUGCCAAGGAUGUUUUCAUUAAUCAAGAACGAAAGUUAGGGGAUCGAAGACGAUCAGAUACCGUCGUAGUCUUAACCAUAAACUAUGCCGACUAGGGAUCGGACGAAGUUAAUUUUAUAAUGACGCGUUCGGCACCUUACG
rnacentral:rRNA from 1 species